rnacentral:tmRNA from 1 species
GGGGACGAAAUUGGUUUCGACUGUUGUUGUCAGGGAUCAUGUGGCGUGUAGAGGUUGUAGGCUCCUCUCAAAACCUUCAAACAAUAACCGCUAAUAACGAAUUAGCUUUAGCAGCUUAAUCUCUGCUACGAAGUCUCGGUUCUUUCUCUCGAGUUCCGAACGCUUUGACACUUACCGAGAGGCGGCUUUUUCGGUUUUCGGUUCCCGAAAAAGACUGUAAACGAGCCGGAUAGAAAAGAGAGUCCUGUCUGAGGGUUAAACUCUUUUCGAACACUUUAUACACAGACUACACACGUAGAGGCUGAUCUGGGGCGCAAUAGGACGCGGGUUCGAACCCCGCCGUCUCCAGGA